UUUGGUUUCAGGAGUAAUUCAUGCAGCAAAUGCUCCAAGGAGCACCCUCCAGGUAACUUGGCAGAAGAGUUAAGAACCAGAAGACAGGAGACGCCCUCGGAUUAAACGCGUCAAAGGAGGGAAGUACCUGUUACGUUUACAGCCUCGUUCUUAGCCAAGGCACAGUGCCAACAGCUUUAUCGUCCCUUUAACAAAAGGUAUAAGUGCAAGAGAUGGCCCCUGAACCCCCAGUGUGUGCCUACUGCCACAGCUAUGGCUGAGGUAAUCCUCGCUUGCUUCCGAUCCCCAGCCUGAUGGAAUAGAGCACGUUUAUCACUUUUUGCAGAGAGCCGAGGUAAAACUGGUCCGAAGGUUAAGCCAGCAUUUCUUACAAAAUCCAUUCGAGGAUGACCACAUGUAGUGAGCACAGCUACUCUUGAAGGAAGCCACCUGCACCCUGCACCCCUACGGGGAGGGCACUUAACCUGAAAUGUAUCCCCCAACUUUGACAUCACCUAAGUUGACUAAGGCUCCUCAAGUGGGGCGUACACGCUUGGGGAUGAUGCGUAUGCAAGGCCAAGGCUUGCCACGG
rnacentral:lncRNA from 1 species